UGCAGUCGUACGCUUCUUUUUCCACCGGAGCUUGCUCCACCGGAAAAAGAAGAGUGGCGAACGGGUGAGUAACACGUGGGUAACCUGCCCAUCAGAAGGGGAUAACACUUGGAAACAGGUGCUAAUACCGUAUAACAAUCGAAACCGCAUGGUUUUGAUUUGAAAGGCGCUUUCGGGUGUCGCUGAUGGAUGGACCCGCGGUGCAUUAGCUAGUUGGUGAGGUAACGGCUCACCAAGGCCACGAUGCAUAGCCGACCUGAGAGGGUGAUCGGCCACAUUGGGACUGAGACACGGCCCAAACUCCUACGGGAGGCAGCAGUAGGGAAUCUUCGGCAAUGGACGAAAGUCUGACCGAGCAACGCCGCGUGAGUGAAGAAGGUUUUCGGAUCGUAAAACUCUGUUGUUAGAGAAGAACAAGGAUGAGAGUAACUGUUCAUCCCUUGACGGUAUCUAACCAGAAAGCCACGGCUAACUACGUGCCAGCAGCCGCGGUAAUACGUAGGUGGCAAGCGUUGUCCGGAUUUAUUGGGCGUAAAGCGAGCGC
rnacentral:rRNA from 1 species